rnacentral:rRNA from 1 species
UACGGGGGGGGCAAGCGUUGUUCGGAAUUACUGGGCGUAAAGGGCUCGUAGGCGGCCAACUAAGUCGGAUGUGAAAUCCCCAAGCUUAACUUGGGAACUGCAUCCGAUACUGGAUGGCUUGAAUCCGGGAGAGGGAUGCAGAAUUCCAGGUGUAGCGGUGAAAUGCGUAGAUAUCUGGAGGAAUACCGGUGGCGAAGGCGGCAUCCUGGACCGACAUUGACGCUGAGGAGCGAAAGCUAGGGGAGCAAACGGGG